rnacentral:rRNA from 1 species
UACGGAGGGGGCUAGCGUUGUUCGGAAUUACUGGGCGUAAAGCGCACGUAGGCGGCGAUUUAAGUCAGAGGUGAAAGCCCGGGGCUCAACCCCGGAAUAGCCUUUGAGACUGGAUUGCUUGAACAUCGGAGAGGUGAGUGGAAUUCCGAGUGUAGAGGUGAAAUUCGUAGAUAUUCGCAAGAACACCAGUGGCGAAGGCGGCUCGCUGGCCCGGUACUGACGCUGAGGUGCGAAAGCGUGGGGAGCAAACAGG